CGGAUCCCGACGCUCGCAUUCCGCCUGACUGGCGGCUUUUCUGGCUGGGGCUACGUUUCUCACAGACGCCGCGGCUCGAGGCCGCGUUCGCCGCGGAGCGGGCGUCUGGUGCGCGGCCUGUGGCGACCCUCGAGCUGCCCGGGCUGAGGCAGCUGGAGGCCUGGCGGUUGCCUCCCGCCCGCGGCUCCGCGUACCAGCCGCUCGGCGUCGGGCCUCGCGGUUCUGUUUGGCGCCGGGAAGCGGUAGAGCAGCACGAGCCCGGCUUCCGCGCUGAGGGGACGCGGGAGGCCGGCGGUCCGCUCCCGGGCCGCAUUUCCCGGAGGGCUCUGCGGGCGGACGCUGCGCUCCUCGGGUUCGGCCGCUUUGCGGGAAGGCGGCACCUUAGCUGCUGCGGGGCCUUUGGAGUCUGGUGCAACUUGGCCCGUUUGGACCAGACCGGAACCUGGGAAGGACUGGGGUGAGGGGUUCAGCCCUAGCCGUGGGAUAAUGGGACGGUCUCACUGAAUGAAGGUUUGUUUGCAGCAACAGGAAUAUUCAAGAUGAAGGGAUUGGUGAUGUUCAGGGAUGUGGCUGGUAGACUUCUCUCAGGGGAAGUGGGAAUGCCUGGACCCUGCUCAGAGGGAUUUACACAAAGAUGUGAUGGAGAACUAUAGCAACCUAAUCUUACUGGUUUGGAGGCCAGGUGUGAUACAAAGACAUUAUCUCCAGAAGAGAACAUUUUUGAAAUAAACUUAUACAAACAGAAGAUAAAGAAGUAAAAUGCCUGAUAUUGAAGGUUCCAUUAUCUAAAGUAGCAGAAGAACAAAAUCAAGAUUGAGAAACAAGAGCCUCAAGAAGAUUUCAGCCAAUUGAAAAUCAUCCAUGAAUAUAUAUCUACUCACAGAAAUAUUAUGAAUGUAAGGAAUGUAGAAAUAUCUUUAAUUAGGGCUCAGACCUAAUCAAACAUUAGAGAAUUCACACUGGUGAGAAGACUUAUACAUCUAAGGAAUGUGGGAAGGCCUUUAGGCUUCAGGGACAACUCAACAUCUGAAAAUUUAUAAAUAUCUAGAAUGUGGGAAGGCUUUCAGUUUUGGCAGAGAUCUUAGAAUACUGGUGAGAAAUCCUAUGAAUGAAAGACUUUUAGUUUGGGCAGGUAUGUAAGAGUCCACCAAAAAAAUACUGGCAAAAAACCCUAUGAGUGUAAGGAAUGUUGGAAGGCCUUUAGAAUACAUUAGCAUCUUACUCAACAUCAAAAACUCAUAGAACUGUGAAACCCUAUAAAAGUAAAGAAUGUAGGAAAGCUUUUAGUUUUGUCAAAGACCUUAAAAUAUACCAGAAUACUCAUUUUGGUGGGAAACCCUAUAAAUGUCAGGACUGUGGGAAGACCUUCAGUUCUUUGAGAUACUUUAGAGUAUACCAGAAAAUUCAUAUUUAUGAAAAGCCCUAUGAAUGUAAGGAAUGUGAAAAAUCAUUUAUAUUGCAUGAACAGCUUAGUUGACAUAAAAAAUUCAUAAAGAUGAGAAAUCUUAUGAAUGUAAGGAAUGUAGAAAAGCCUUUAGAUUGCAUUCACACCUUAAAAGUCAUCACAGUAUUCAUACUGGUAAGAAGCCCUAGGAAUGUAAGAAAUGUGGCAGGCCUUUAGACAGAAUUCAACUUAACCAACAUCAGAGCAUACACACUAAAGAGAAACCCUACAAAUAAAUGUAAGGAAUGUGAGAAUGCCUGUAGAUGGAGUUCAACAUUUAAUCAACAUCAAAAAUGCAUACUAAGGAGAAAUUCUGAAUUGAAAGUAUAUGGAAAGGCCUUUCAACUUCAUCAAAUUCUUACAGAGCAUCAGAUAUUUCACAAUGCUAAGAAACCAGUCCUAUGAAGUGAGGAGUGAUGUGAGAAGGCCUUUAGAUAAAAUGAACAUCAGUGAAUAUAAGGAGAAACUCUGAAUGUAAAGAAUGUGGGCAUGCCUUUAGAUUUUGUUUAUUCCUUAUUGAGCAUCAGAGAAUUUAUAAUGGUGAAAAACUCUCAAAAGGUAAGAAAUGUAUGAAGCCCAAUAUUCUGCCACUAUCAAAUCUGAGAACUCAUAGCCUUACGGAGUUAUUAUAAAAGUGUUUUUUUUUUUUUAAUUUUUAUUUAUUUGUGAUAGUCACAGAGAGAGAGAGAGAGAGAGAGAGAGAGAGAGAGAGGCACAGGCAGAGGC